AUCUCAUUUUAGGGCUCCUUUAAGCAUGAAUCUAUAUUCAUGGAUUUGUUCUACCCUGAAGAAGUACGAAGUGUGUAAAAACAACUCCAUCAUAGUUACAGACACCAUAGUCACCAAAUUGCCAAGAUAGUUAAAACAGAAAUCAUGGGAAAUGCACUGGAUUUGAAGACAGAAGACCUGGGUUCUUUAUAUAUGUAACAUUGGGCAAUCCAUUUAAUCUUCAUGAACCUUGGUUUCUCAUCAGUAAAAGGAAGUAAUACCACUUGUGUUGUCUCCCUCACAGAAUCAUUGUGAAGAAAGUACUUUGAGCAUUAUACAAAUGCAGGGAACUGGCAUUCAUGUGGAAUAGGAUUCUUGAGCUUGGAUCUCAUAUGUCUGGCUCUCUAUAAUCAAGAAAAUAACAAUUAGGAAGAUCAGGAAAAGCAAUCGAGUGCCAUCUUGAAUAAAGGGAAGGAUUCAAAGUUGCAGAAGUAACAAGAGAUUCAAAUUCAAGGACAGAGGCUGGGAACCAGAAUGUAGAGAUCCAUGAAGCUGGACCGUAGAGGUUAUCCAUCCAGGGAAGAAAUUUGAAAUAAGGCUAAAGGAUAGUCAAAAGCCAAAUUGUGAGCCAAAACAUCUUUCGUGGUUUCUGCUGCUGACACUUUAGCACAAUUUACCUUGUCUGGAUUUCAGAACUUGUCUAUUGCCCUGACAGUAUCCUACCAAGCUACCUCAGUCUAUCAAAAUUUCUGCCUUUUUCUCCGUGUUUAGCUCUUAUGAUAUACGAAUAUCAAUUCUAAAGUAACUGGGAUUCUGUUCUUAGAUAAGAUUACAUUUCAUAAACCUCUAUUUGGCUGCUGAGGUCUCUGAGCAGUUGUCUAUUCUGACCUCUAAUAACUGUGCUCCCAUUUUAGUUCCUCACCCUACCAAUCCCAUUAGACCUCUGUAACCUCUAUCUCUCUGCCACCCUUUGGCCCUUCAUAACACAGGGCUGAUUAUUCCUACUACUACUCUGGCCUUUGAAAUAAAUGGUAAUUCCAUACACAAAAGAUUUUUUUUUAAUAAAAAGAUACUAAGAAUCACAA